rnacentral:rRNA from 1 species
UGCAGUCGAGCGGAACGAUCCUAGCUUGCUAGGAGGCGUCGAGCGGCGGACGGGUGAGUAACGCAUAGGAAUCUACCCAGUUGUGGGGGACAACCUGAGGAAACUCAGGCUAAUACCGCAUACGUCCUACGGGAGAAAGCGGGGGCUCUUCGGACCUCGCGCGAUUGGAUGAGCCUAUGUCGGAUUAGCUAGUUGGUGGGGUAAUGGCCCCCCAAGGCGACGAUCCGUAGCUGGUCUGAGAGGAUGAUCAGCCACACCGGGACUGAGACACGGCCCGGACUCCUACGGGAGGCAGCAGUGGGGAAUWUUGGACAAUGGGCGCAAGCCUGAUCCNAGCCAUGCCGSGKGKGKGAAGAAGGCUUUCGAGUUGUAAAGCACUUUCAGCGGGGAAGAAAGCGUGCCGGCCAAUACCCGGUACGGACGACAUCACCCGCAGAAGAAGCACCGGCUAACUCCGUGCCAGCAGCCGCGGUAAUACGGAGGGUGCAAGCGUUAAUCGGAAUUACUGGGCGUAAAGGGCGCGUAGGCGGCGUGUCACGCCGGGUGUGAAAGCCCCGGGCUCAACCUGGGAAUGGCAUCCGGAACGGGCAGGCUAGAGUGCAGGAGAGGAAGGUAGAAUUCCCGGUGUAGCGGUGAAAUGCGUAGAGAUCGGGAGGAAUACCAGUGGCGAAGGCGGCCUUCUGGACUGACACUGACGCUGAGGUGCGAAAGCGUGGGUAGCAAACAGGAUUAGAUACCCUGGUAGUCCACGCCGUAAACGAUGUCGACUAGCCGUUGGGUCCCUUGAGGACUUAGUGGCGCAGUUAACGCGAUAAGUCGACCGCCUGGGGAGUACGGCCGCAAGGUUAAAACUCAAAUGAAUUGACGGGGGCCCGCACAAGCGGUGGAGCAUGUGGUUUAAUUCGAUGCAACGCGAAGAACCUUACCUACCCUUGACAUCCUGCGAACYGGGUAGAGAUACCCGGGUGCCUUCGGGAGCGCAGARACRGGUGCUGCAUGGCYGUCGUCARCUCGUGUUGUGAAAUGUUGGGNUUAARUCCCGUAACGAGCGCAACCCUUAUCCCUAUUUGCCAGCGGUCCGGCCGGGAACUCUAGGGAGACUGCCGGUGACAAACCGGAGGAAGGUGGGGACGACGUCAAGUCAUCAUGGCCCUUACGGGUAGGGCUACACACGUGCUACAAUGGCCGGUACAAAGGGUUGCGAAAGCGCGAGCUGAAGCCAAUCCCGGAAAGUCGGUCUCAGUCCGGAUCGGAGUCUGCAACUCGACUCCGCGAAGUCGGAAUCGCUAGUAAUCGUGCAUCAGAAUGGCACGGUGAAUACGUUCCCGGGCCUUGUACACACCGCCCGUCACACCAUGGAAAGUGGACUGCACCAGGAAAGUGGUUAGCUUAACCUGC